rnacentral:rRNA from 1 species
UGUUAAGUCAGAUGUGAAAGCCCCGGGCUCAACCUGGGAACUGCAGCUGAUACUGGGAAGCUUGAGUGUCGUAGAGGGUAGUAGAAUUCCAGGUGUAGCGGUGAAAUGCGUAGAGAUCUGGAGGAAUACCGGUGGCGAAGGCGGCCCCCUGGACGAAGACUGACGCUCAGGUGCGAAAGCGUGGGGAGCAAACAGG